rnacentral:ncRNA from 2 species
UAUGGAAAACGGCACACUUAUCUAAAGGUAAGGUCGCAAAGCUAUGGGUCUAAGGGAUGCAUUCCUAUGAUUGCCAAGCCGCCAAA